AGCGAACGCUGGCGGCAGGCCUAACACAUGCAAGUCGAACGCACCUUCGGGUGAGUGGCGGACGGGUGAGUAACACGUGGGAACGUGCCCUUUGGUACGGAACAACUGAGGGAAACUUCAGCUAAUACCGUAUGUGCCCCCAUUCUUAGCGGGAUGGGCGGGAAAGAUUUAUCGCCAUUGGAGCGGCCCGCGGUGGAUUAGGUAGUUGGUGGGGUAAAGGCCUACCAAGCCGACGAUCCAUAGCUGUUCUGAGAGGAUGAUCAGCCACACUGGGACUGAGACACGGCCCAGACUCCUACGGGAGGCAGCAGUGGGGAAUCUUGAGCAAUGGGCGAAAGCCUGACGCAGCCAUGCCGCGUGAAUGAUGAAGGUCUUAGGAUUGUAAAAUUCUUUCACCGGGGAAGAUAAUGACGGUACCCGGAGAAGAAGCCCCGGCUAACUUCGUGCCAGCAGCCGCCGUAA
rnacentral:rRNA from 1 species